CAUCACUUUUACAUCAAUGAAACGUUAAAAUUUGGCUAACUAAAUUGGAGUGUGAGACUUGAUUAAUAUAAUAAUUUUAAAAAUUCGAACUAGAAAUUAUAACAAAUUAAAGUUUGAGGACCAAAGUGCCACCUUUGAUCGUUCGAUUAUUGAUAUUGAAAAAUUAUAAAAUUUGAUUUCUAGAUAGUUUAAAUAGUCUAGAUAAUAUUCAAUAGUGUCGAUCGUCGAUUUAGAGACUUAUCAUCAAAAA
rnacentral:lncRNA from 1 species